ACAACUGAAUAUUAUAAAGGUUCUUUACUAAGUAAAGUGAAAAGGGAAAUCGGUGUAAUUCCGACGCGGUCCCGCCACUGUAAGUGUGAGUUUUUUCAAUCUACGCCACUGAACAUCUUUCGGGAAGGCAUGAAAAAACGAAUAGCACACGAGCCAGGAGACCUGCCUUUAUAGAGCAACACGA
rnacentral:ncRNA from 2 species